rnacentral:tRNA from 1 species
UACAGGAUAGUAUAUAGAGUACAAAGGACUUUGACUCCUUUAGUGGUAGUUCGUCUUGCCUCUUGUAG